rnacentral:rRNA from 1 species
GCUUGAGGGGGGCAACCCCCAAGAGAGCAGCGAACGGGUGAGUAACGCGUGGGUGAUCUUCCUUCGAGUGGGGAACAACAUCGGGAAACUGGUGCUAAUUCCGCAUAACACCUCGGAACUACGGGUUUCGAGGUCAAAGCCGGGGACCGCAAGGCCUGGCGCUUGUAGAUGAGCCCGCGUCCGAUUAGCUAGUUGGGGGGGUAAUGGCCCACCAAGGCUCCGAUCGGUAGCCGGCCUGAGAGGGCGGACGGCCACACUGGAACUGAGACACGGUCCAGACUCCUACGGGAGGCAGCAGUGGGGAAUUUUUCGCAAUGGGGGAAACCCUGACGAAGCAACGCCGCGUGGAGGAUGAAGGUCUUCGGAUUGUAAACUCCUGUCGACCGGGACGAAUGCACUCGACCUAACACGUCGGGCUGUUGACGGUACCGGUGGAGGAAGCCACGGCUAACUCUGUGCCAGCAGCCGCGGUAAUACAGAGGUGGCAAGCGUUGUUCGGAAUUACUGGGCGUAAAGGGCGCGUAGGCGGCCUUGUAAGUCUCGUGUGAAAGCCCUCGGCUUAACUGAGGAUCUGCACGGGAUACUGCGAGGCUCGAGUUCGGGAGAGGAAAGCGGAAUUCCGGGUGUAGCGGUGAAAUGCGUAGAUAUCCGGAGGAACACCAGUGGCGAAGGCGGCUUUCUGGACCGACACUGACGCUGAUGCGCGAAAGCUAGGGGAGCAAACGGGAUUAGAUACCCCGGUAGUCCUAGCUGUAAACGAUGAUCGCUGGGUGUGGGGGGGUUUUUAC